rnacentral:lncRNA from 1 species
AAAGGUUGAAUUGAAUUGGUGGUAAUGUGCUCAAACCGGUUUGUGCGAAAUGACAACACGAUUUAUGUCACUCGCAAAAAAUCAAAACGCGGUGAAAACAUUCUAUUGAUAUAUUACAAUUUUGGUGGUAUACCGGCAUGACAUUGCCGAAUCCGUAAAUAAAAAGAAUUUGAUUAAAAAAAAGAAUAUAAUAUAAUUGAUUGUCAAUAGCUGC